rnacentral:rRNA from 1 species
AUUGAACGCUGGCGGCAUGCCUUACACAUGCAAGUCGAACGCGAAAGGGGGGCAACCCCUGAGUAGAGUGGCGCACGGGUGAGUAAUGCAUCGGAACGUGUCCUGUAGCGGGGGAUAACCUAGCGAAAGCUAGGCUAAUACCGCAUACGCCCUAAGGGGGAAAGUGGGGGAUCGUAAGACCUCACACUAUAGGAGCGGCCGAUGCCGGAUUAGCUAGUUGGUGGGGUAAAGGCUCACCAAGGCGACGAUCCGUAGCUGGUCUGAGAAGAUGAUCAGCCAAACUGGGACUGAGACACGGCCCAGACUCCUACGGGAGGCAGCAGUGGGGAAUGUUGGACAAUGGGGGAAACCCUGAUCCAGCCAUGCCGCGUGAGUGAAGAAGGCCUUCGGGUUGUAAAGCUCUUUCGGCCGGGACGAAAUCGCACGCGUGAAUAUCGUGUGCGGAUGACGGUACCGGCAGAAGAAGGACCGGCUAACUACGUGCCAGCCGCCGCAGUAA